rnacentral:rRNA from 1 species
AGAGUUUGAUCAUGGCUCAGGAUGAACGUGGGCGGUGUGCCUAAUACAUGCAAGUCGAACGGAGUUAAUAGCAAUAUUGACUUAGUGGCGAACGGGUGAGUAACGCGUUGGUGAUCUGCCUCGAAGUGUGGAAUAACGUUCCGAAGGGAUCGCUAAUACCGCAUGUGCUCUCGAUUUUUAGAAAGUUGAGAGUAAAGGAUUUAUUCGCUUCGAGAGGAGCCUGCGUCCCAUCAGCUGGUUGGUAGGGUAACGGCCUACCAAGGCUAUGACGGGUAGGGGACCUGAGAGGGUGGCCCCCCACAAUGGAACUGAAACACGGUCCAUACACCUACGGGUGGCAGCAGUAGGGAAUAUUAGAAAUGGACGAAAGUCUGAUCUAGCAACACCGCGUGUGCGAAGAAGGCCUUCGGGUCGUAAAGCACUUUUUGGAAGGAAUAGGAAGGAAUGUACUUCCAGAAUAAGUCUCGGCUAACUACGUGCCAGCAGCCGCGGUAACACGUAGGAGGCAAACGUUAUCCGGAUUUACUGGGCGUAAAGCGCGUGUAGGUGGUACUGUAAGUAGGGCGUGAAAGCUCCUGGCUCAACUAGGAGAGGCCGUUCUAAACUACAGAACUAGAGGAUGGUAGAGGGAGGUGGAAUUCCAGGUGUAGCGGUGGAAUGCGCAGAUAUCUGGAGGAACACCGGUGGCGAAGGCGGCCUCCUGGACCAUUCCUGACACUCAGACGCGAAAGCUAGGGUAGCAAACGGGAUUAGAGACCCCGGUAGUCCUAGCCCUAAACGAUGUAGACUAGGCGUCGGAAGUUUAAUCACUUUCGGUGUCCAAGCUAACGCGAUAAGUCUACCGCCUGGGGACUACGGCCGCAAGGUUAAAACUCAAAUGAAUUGACGG